GAUGAACGCUGGCGGCGUGCUUAACACAUGCAAGUCGGACGGUGAAGCAGGAGCUUGCUCCUGUGGAUCAGUGGCGAACGGGUGAGUAACACGUGAGCAACCUGCCCUGGACUCUGGGAUAAGCGCUGGAAACGGUGUCUAAUACUGGAUAUGAGCUCCUUCCGCAUGGUGGGGGUUGGAAAGAUUUUUCGGUCUGGGAUGGGCUCGCGGCCUAUCAGCUUGUUGGUGAGGUAAUGGCUCACCAAGGCGUCGACGGGUAGCCGGCCUGAGAGGGUGACCGGCCACACUGGGACUGAGACACGGCCCAGACUCCUACGGGAGGCAGCAGUGGGGAAUAUUGCACAAUGGGCGGAAGCCUGAUGCAGCAACGCCGCGUGAGGGAUGACGGCCUUCGGGUUGCAAACCUCUUUUAGCAGGGAAGAAGCUUUUGUGACGGUACCUGCAGAAAAAGCGCCGGCUAACUACGUGCCAGCAGCCGCAGUAAAAC
rnacentral:rRNA from 1 species